AGGACUUGUAGAGGUACUACUGAGGCUGCAUCAUCUUGACUUAAUAUAUAUUGUCUCACAGCCUCAGCGAGGAGACAUAGAGCGAUAAGGUUAGCCCCUCAAGAGGACCAACCUAGCAUAGUCCCCCAAACCACUCUGAGGAUACUGCAGAGGUUUAGCAUGUAGCUGCUACUCAUGAUACUAAUGUUGAGAUAGAUGCUGAGCCUACUAAGCCAUCUCGA
rnacentral:lncRNA from 1 species